CCCGCGCCCCAGCUCGGCUCGCGGGCGGGCGGCCCGGGUCCGCCCGAGUCGGCUGGAGCUGUUGCCAUGACGAGCAUUUUCGCGAGAAAGCUCUGCCGCUGAGACUGUCCGACGCGGGGGCCGAGGGAGGGGCGCGAACUUCCUGGGGACGCAUCCCUCCGCGGAGAGCGAGCCCGGGGACCCCCCGCCCAGCUCUGCUGCGCCCGUUUUCUUCCGGGACCCCGCGAGGUCCUUCCACUGGGCCGGAGCGGGACGGGCGGAGAGCGCAGCCGGCAUCUCGCGCGCGGUGGCCGCGCCGGGGCGGCCCGGGCGCCUGCCUCGCUCCGUCCAUGGAAACCCGCAGGGCGAGCGCCGCGCGGAGCCUGGACCUUUGCUAGAAAGAGGAAAGGAUGAGAAAGUUCGCUCUUCCAUCCGAUCAUCCCUUAGGCUGGCAAAGUGCUGGAAACAGAGCGAGCAAGAGCCUACCUUCCCCAGAAUGCCCCAGGCCGAGUGACUAAUCCUGACCAGUCAGGAGGGACCUCCCAGACGUCUGAGACUUGAGGCCACGUGAGCAUCGAUGCAUUAUUCUUUGCCAGUUGCCUAAUAAGGUUAGGGGCUAGGCAAGCUCAGCAGCUACGGAGAGCUCAUAAUGUUCUACCAGCUCAGAGCUCAGAGAGGAGUGUCGGUACCUACCACACCUCUGAAUUCCUGACAGACUUUCAUGGAGAUCCCGCCGUGAACUGGGCCCCAGCUGGGCACUGCCCCUCAGACUUUGUGCCAGCAGCUUAAUGCUUGACCUCUGCGUGUGUCUCUAAAGCAGCCUGAAGCAGAGAAACCUCUCAUUCUUUUCGAUGUGCCUCAGAUGUUCUGAUCUUAAGUGACCUUUUCUCAUUGGUUGCCCAUAUGAAUGGAAGCAUCUCUCCUCUUUGCUACCUUGAGGGAGAGGUUCAGAGUAAGGAAUUCUGACUCAGACUGUCC
rnacentral:lncRNA from 1 species